AGAGUUUGAUCCUGGCUCAGGAUGAACGCUAGCGGCAGGCUUAACACAUGCAAGUCGAGGGGCAGCGCGGGGUAGCAAUACCCUGGCGGCGACCGGCGGAAGGGUGCGUAACACGUGAGCGACUUGCCCGUCACAGGGAGAUAACCGGCGGAAACGGCGACUAAUAUCCCAUAUGAUCCGAUGCUACAUGGCGUCGGAUUGAAAGAUUCAUCGGUGACGGAUAGGCUCGCGGGACAUUAGCUUGACGGCGGGGCAACGGCCCACCGUGGCGACGAUGUCUAGGGGUUCUGAGAGGAAGAUCCCCCACACUGGAACUGAGACACGGUCCAGACUCCUACGGGAGGCAGCAGUGAGGAAUAUUGGUCAAUGGGCGGAAGCCUGAACCAGCCAUGCCGCGUGAAGGAAUAAGGCCCUAUGGGUCGUAAACUUCUUUAGACGCAGAGCAAUAAGGUCCACGAGUGGAUCGAUGAGAGUAUGCGUAGAAUAAGCAUCGGCUAACUCCGUGCCAGCAGCCGCGGUAAUACGGGGGAUGCGAGCGUUAUCCGGAUUUAUUGGGUUUAAAGGGUGCGUAGGCGGCAAGGUAAGUCAGCGGUGAAAGACCAGGGCUCAACUCUGGAAGUGCCGUUGAUACUGUCUGGCUAGAAUGAUUCCGCCGUGGGAGGAAUGAGUAGUGUAGCGGUGAAAUGCAUAGAUAUUACUCAGAACACCGAUUGCGAAGGCAUCUCACGAGGGGUUCAUUGACGCUGAGGCACGAAAGCGUGGGGAUCGAACAGGAUUAGAUACCCUGGUAGUCCACGCAGUAAACGAUGAUGGCUAACUGUCGGGCCUUAGGGUUCGGCGGCCAAGCGAAAGCGAUAAGCCAUCCACCUGGGGAGUACGACCGCAAGGUUGAAACUCAAAGGAAUUGACGGGGGCC
rnacentral:rRNA from 1 species